ACUAUUUUGGCAGAGAAAUGUAAUGGUUUUAGAAAUCAUAAAUAUAUAAUAAAUUAUAUAAGUAGUA
rnacentral:tRNA from 1 species